rnacentral:SRP_RNA from 1 species
CCGUGCUAGAUGGGGAGUCAGCGGUGCCCUGUAACCCGCAAUCCGCUAUAGCGGGGUCGAAGUCCCUUCCCAGAUCCCGAUUUCUUUCCUCAUCCCUGGCCAGGGGCGCCGACGGUCAGGCUCUGCGCGACGGCGGCCCGUGAACCCCGUCAGGACCGGGAGGUAGCAGCGGUAAACGGUCUCCGCCGGGUGCCGCAGAUUGCCCUGGCCUGAGCCACCAGUCGGGUCUUGGGGACGGAAUAGGCGAGCGAAGAAGGGUGCACGG